rnacentral:rRNA from 1 species
CCUACGGGGGGCAGCAGUGGGGAAUAUUGGACAAUGGGGGCAACCCUGAUCCAGCCAUGCCGCGUGUGUGAAGAAGGCCCUCGGGUUGUAAAGCACUUUCAGUGAGGAAGAACGCCUGGUGGUUAAUACCCAUCAGGAAAGACAUCACUCAUAGAAGAAGCACCGGCUAACUCCGUGCCAGCAGCCGCGGUAAUACGGAGGGUGCGAGCGUUAAUCGGAAUUACUGGGCGUAAAGCGCGCGUAGGUGGCUUGAUAAGCCGGUUGUGAAAGCCCCGGGCUCAACCUGGGAACGGCAUCCGGAACUGUCAAGCUAGAGUGCAGGAGAGGAAGGUAGAAUUCCCGGUGUAGCGGUGAAAUGCGUAGAGAUCGGGAGGAAUACCAGUGGCGAAGGCGGCCUUCUGGACUGACACUGACACUGAGGUGCGAAAGCGUGGGUAGCAAACAGGAUUAGAUACCCGUGUAGUC